rnacentral:lncRNA from 1 species
AAGAUGAGACCCUUUUUCUCCACCCACCACCCAAGUCAGUUAGGAGAGUCAUCUGAGAAGUGAAAAAGGAAAAGCUAAUCAAGAUGUGUGUUUCCACAAAUUCCAGAAUAUACAAGAUUUUACUGUAAGACUUAUUCACUUGGUAUAAAAGUACAUGAACAGAAAAGCCUGAACUAGGGAACUGACCAUGAAACUAAAAAGGAG